rnacentral:rRNA from 1 species
GACGAACGCUGGCGGCGUGCUUAACACAUGCAAGUCGAACGGAAAGGCCCAGCUUGCUGGGUGCUCGAGUGGCGAACGGGUGAGUAACACGUGGGUGAUCUGCCUCUAACUUCGGGAUAAGCUUGGGAAACUGGGUCUAAUACCGGAUAGGACAAUCGUUAAGUGUCGGUUGUGGAAAGUUUUUUCGGUUAGGGAUGAGCCCGCGGCCUAUCAGCUUGUUGGUGGGGUAAUGGCCUACCAAGGCGUCGACGGGUAGCCGGCCUGAGAGGGUGGACGGCCACAUUGGGACUGAGAUACGGCCCAGACUCCUACGGGAGGCAGCAGUGGGGAAUAUUGCACAAUGGGCGCAAGCCUGAUGCAGCGACGCCGCGUGGGGGAUGACGGCCUUCGGGUUGUAAACCUCUUUCGACAGGGACGAAGCUUUGGUGACGGUACCUGUAUAAGAAGCACCGGCUAACUACGUG